GACGAACGCUGGCGGCGUGCUUAACACAUGCAAGUCGAACGGAAAGGCCCUGCUUUUGUGGGGUGCUCUAGUGGCGAACGGGUGAGUAACACGUGAGUAACCUGCCCUUGACUUUGGGAUAACUUCAGAACACUGGGGCUCAUCCCGGCUAGGAGCUCCUGCUUCAUGGUGGGGGUUGGAAAGUUUCGGCGGUUGGGGAUGGACUCGCGGCUUAUCAGCUUGUUGGUGGGGUAGUGGGUUACCAAGGCUUUGACGGGUAGCCGGCCUGGGAGGGUGACCGGCCACAGUGGGACUGAGAUACGGCACAGCCUCCUACGGGAGGCAGCAGUGGGGAAUAUUGCACAAUGGGCGGAAGCCUGAUGCAGCAACGCCGCGUGCGGGAUGACGGCCUUCGGGUUGUAAACCGCUUUCGCCUGUGACGAAGCGUGAGUGACGGUAAUGGGUAAAGAAGCACCGGCUAACUACGUG
rnacentral:rRNA from 1 species